AGAAAUAGGUGCUAAUACCGCAUAAGCGCACGGAGUCGCAUGACUUUGUGUGAAAAACUGAGGUGGUAUAUGAUGGACCCGCGUCUGAUUAGCUUGUUGGUGAGGUAACGGCCCACCAAGGCGACGAUCAGUAGCCGGCCUGAGAGGGUGGACGGCCACAUUGGGACUGAGACACGGCCCAAACUCCUACGGGAGGCAGCAGUGGGGAAUAUUGCACAAUGGGGGAAACCCUGAUGCAGCGACGCCGCGUGAGCGAAGAAGUAUUUCGGUAUGUAAAGCUCUAUCAGCAGGGAAGAAAAUGACGGUACCUGACUAAGAAGCCCCGGCUAACUACGUGCCAGCAGCCGCGGUAAUACGUAGGGGGCAAGCGUUAUCCGGAAUUACUGGGUGUAAAGGGAGCGUAGACGGUGAAGUAAGUCUGGAGUGAAAGGCGGGGGCCCAACCCCCGGACUGCUCUGGAAACUAUGUUACUGGAGUGCAGGAGAGGUAAGCGGAAUUCCUAGUGUAGCGGUGAAAUGCGUAGAUAUUAGGAGGAACACCAGUGGCGAAGGCGGUCUGCUGGACAGCAACUGACGCUGAGGCGCGAAAGCGUGGGGAGCAAACAGGAUUAGAUACCCUGGUAGUCCACGCUGUAAACGAUGAUUACUAGGUGUGGGGGGGGCUGACCCCUUUCCGUGCCGCAGUUAACACAAUAAGUAAUCCACCUGGGGAGUACGACCGCAAGGUUGAAACUCAAAGGAAUUGACGGGGGCCCGCACAAGCGGAGGAACAUGUGGUUUAAUUCGAUGAUACGCGAGGAACCUUACCCGGGAUUGAAAUGUAGAUGACUGAUGGUGAAAACCGUCUUCCCUUCGGGGCUUCUAUGUAGGUGCUGCAUGGUUGUCGUCAGCUCGUGCCGUGAGGUGUCGGCUUAAGUGCCAUAACGAGCGCAACCCACAUCGGUAGUUGCUAACAGUUUUCGCUGAGGACUCUACCGAGACUGCCGUCGUAAGGCGCGAGGAAGGUGUGGAUGACGUCAAAUCAGCACGGCCCUUACAUCCGGGGCGACACACGUGUUACAAUGGGAGGGACAAAGGGCAGCUACCGGGCGACCGGAUGCGAAUCUCUAAACCCUUCCCCAGUUCGGAUCGGAGUCUGCAACUCGACUCCGUGAAGCUGGAUUCGCUAGUAAUCGCGCAUCAGCC
rnacentral:rRNA from 1 species